rnacentral:rRNA from 1 species
CCCUUAGAUGUUCUGGGCCGCACGCGUGCUACACUGAGUGGAUCAGCGGGUCAGGUUGCGCGAAAGUGUUUCCUAAUCUUGAAAUCCGCUCGUGAUGGGGAUUGACGGUUGCAAUUUUCUGUCAUGAACGAGGAAUACCUUGUAAGCGCGGGUCAUCAUCCCGCGCUGAAUACGUCCCUGCCCUUUGUACACACCGCCCGUCGCUCCUACCGAUUGAGUGGUCCGGUGAGGCUUUGGGAUCUGAGCGGAAAGAGCGUUUCGCUGUUUCUGCUUGGAAAACUCAGUCGAACCUUAUCAUUUAGAGGAAGGAGAAGUCGUAACA